rnacentral:rRNA from 1 species
CAGCCGCCGCGGGAAUACGGAGGGGGCUAGCGUUGUUCGGAAUUACUGGGCGUAAAGCGCACGUAGGCGGCUUGGUAAGUUAGAGGUGAAAGCCCGGAGCUCAACUCCGGAAUUGCCUUUAAGACUGCCGAGCUAGCAGGUGAGAGAGGUAAGUGGAAUUCCGAGUGUAGAGGUGAAAUUCGUAGAUAUUCGGAAGAACACCAGUGGCGAAGGCGGCUUACUGGCUCAUACUGGACGCUGAGGUGCGAAAGCGUGGGGAGCAAACAGGAUUAGAUACCCCUGUAGUCCCUGUCUCUUAUAC